rnacentral:rRNA from 1 species
AACGAACGCUGGCGGCAUGCCUAACACAUGCAAGUCGAACGAGACCUUCGGGUCUAGUGGCGCACGGGUGCGUAACGCGUGGGAACCUGCCCUUAGGUUCGGAAUAACUCCCCGAAAGGGGUGCUAAUACCGGAUAAUGUCUUCGGACCAAAGAUUUAUCGCCUUUGGAUGGGCCCGCGUUGGAUUAGCUAGUUGGUAGGGUAAAAGCCUACCAAGGCGACGAUCCAUAGCUGGUCUGAGAGGAUGAUCAGCCACACUGGGACUGAGACACGGCCCAGACUCCUGCGGGAGGCAGCAGUGGGGAAUAUUGGCCAAUGGGCGAAAGCCUGAUCCAGCAAUGACGCGUGAGUGAUGAAGGCCUUAGGGUUGUAAAGCUCUUUUACCCGGGAUGAUAAUGACAGUACCGGGAGAAUAAGCUCCGGCUAACUCCGUG